UAAACCAUGUAAACAAUUGACAGUGUGGGAAGUAACUCAAUUACUUAUAGCUUGAACCCCUCUGGUUCGGGCAAAAUCUAGGAACCAUGGUGGUUUUAAGUGAUUCCAGCAUGCAAGGAUUUUUUUUUUUUUUUUGUUUAAAUCCAGGCCAAAACGAUAUCGUUUUGGGCCUGGUAAAAAAAAAAUGUUUGUUUGGUAAAUGGCGUCGUUUUCCAUUGAUCAAAUAAAAAAAAAAAUUAAAAAAGGGAGGGACCACUGGUCUCCAUCCCAAUCCCACCUCGUUUCAACUAUUACUCCUCCCCUUUCCCAGAUUACAAAUCUUAUCCCCCCACCUUUACCCUCUUCCCAUACUUCAAUUUUCAAAAUUGUCCCAAAUCCCAGGAUUGAACACAAGAAAGCACAUCAGCCAUCCCGUUCCGUUGGCCACCAAGCUCCAGACGCCACGCCACCCGCUUUAAUUGAGUAGGGAAACCAUCUGAGCUAUGUAUACAAAUUCUCGAGUACUAAACUCCAAAAGGCAGAAGCUGGAUGGAAGAGAAGAGAUCAGCAAUGGUUAAGCAACUUGCCCGAUGAGCUUAUCGAAAAAAUUAUCACCAUGCUUGAAAUGAAAGACGCAAUCAGAACAAGCAUAUUGUCUAAAAGAUGGGAAUACUUAUGGACAUCAAUUCCCCGCCUUUACUUAUAUCACUCUAAUAAUGCUGGAAGAUCUCCCCUGGUGAAUGUUGUAGACAGAGCGCUUGUACUUCGUGGCCCCGCUGACAUAGAAAAGUUUGAUCUUGGGUUUCCAGUACUUGGUGAUGCAUGUCGUGUGCGAAGUUGUGGAUCUCUGCCGCUGUAAGGCGCAUUGUUAAAGAGCUUCAUAUCUUCCUGAAUAAUAUUAACUUCAACGGACCAUUUUCGUUCCCUCAUUCCUUAUUUACUUCUGCAACACUGAUGGAGUUAAUCUAAAUAUGGCCUGCCUUGUCAAGUUUCCUUCUACUGUUUGAUUCUCAAGUCUGAAGACGUUGUCUCUUGAUUCCGUGGUGUUUUCGGAUGACUACUCAACACAGCAGCUGUUUUCUAUUUGUCCAGUCCUUGAGGAAUUAUCUCUGGAAGUCUGCAGUUGGGAGAAUCUCAAAUUUGUGAGUAUU